rnacentral:rRNA from 1 species
UAUGUAGGGUGCGAGCGUUAAUCGGAAUUACUGGGCGUAAAGUGUGCGCAGGCGGCAGAGCAAGUCGAGUGUGAAAGCCCCGGGCUUAACUUGGGAAUUGCGCUCGAAACUACUUUGCUGGAGUGUGGCAGAGGAAGGUGGAAUUCCACGUGUAGCGGUGAAAUGCGUAGAGAUGUGGAGGAACACCAAUGGCGAAGGCAGCCUUCUGGGCCAACACUGACGCUCAUGCACGAAAGCGUGGGGAGCAAACAGG